rnacentral:lncRNA from 1 species
GGUGUGUCCAAACUUUUGACUGGUACUGUAUAUAUAUAUAUUUAGGGGUGGGUCAGCUUUAAUAUUUCAGAUCGAUUGUGGCUUCCAUCAAUGUAAUUGUCUGCAUCAUUUCCAAUACCCCAUAUACUGUAUAUUUUUUAUAAAUAUAUACACUAUACAGUAUAUAUAUCAGUAUGUGGAUUCGGCUACUUCAGCCACACCCGUUGAUGACAGCUGUGUAAAAUUUAGCACACAGCCAUGCACUCUCCAUAGACAAACAUUGGCAGUAGAAUGGGCUGGCAGCGUAGCCUAGUGGUUAGAGCGUUGGACUAGUAACCGAAAGGUUGGUUGCAAGUUCGAAUCCCCGAGCUGACAAGGUACAAAUCUGUCGUUCUGUCCAAGGCAGUUAACCCACUGUUCCUAGGCCGUCAUUGAAAAUAAGAAUUUGUUCUUAACUGACUUGCCUAGUUAAAUAAAGGUUAUAUAUAUAUAUUAAUUAAAAAAUGGUCUUAAUGAAGAGCUCAGUGACAUUCAACCUGGCACUGUUAGUUUGACAAAUGUCUGCCCCAGUCAACUGUAAGUGCUGUUAUUGUGAAGUGGAAAUGUCUAGGAGCAACAACAGCUCAGCCAGGAAGUGGUAGCACACACACGCAGAAUGGGACAGAUGAGUGCUGACGCGCAUAGCGUGUAAAAAUCUGUUCUCGGUUGCAACAUUCACUACCUACUUCCAAACUGCCUCUGGAAGCAACAUCAGCACAAGAACUGUUCGUUGGGAGCUUCAUGAAAUGGGUUUUCAUGGCCGAGCAGCUGCACACAAGCCUAAGAUCACAAUGCCAAGCAUCGGCUGGAGUGGUGUAAAGCUCGCUGCCAUUGGACUCUGGGGCAAUGGAAACACGUUCUCUAGCGUGAUGAUCAUCUGGCAGUCUGACGAACUAAUCUGGGUUUGGUGGAUGCCAGGAGAACUUUAACUGCCCCAAUGCAUAGUGCCAACUGUAAGGUUUGGUGGAGGAGGAAUAAUGGUCUCGGGCUGUUUUUCAUGGUUCGGGCUAGGCCCAUUACUUCCAGUGAAGGGAAAUCUUAAUGCUACAUCAUACAAUAACAUUCUAGACCAGUGGUUCCCAAACUUUUUAUAGUCCCAAACAUUCAACCUCCAGCUGCGUACCCCCUCUAGCACCUGGGUCAGCACACUCUCAAAUGUUUUUUUUGUUGCCAUCAUUGUAAGCCUGCAACACACACACUAUCCGAUACAUUUCUUAAACAUAAGAAUGAGUGUGAGUUUGUCACAACCCGGUUCGUGGGAAGUGACAAAGAGCUCUUAUAGGACCAGGGCACAAAUAAUAAUAAUCAAUAAUUUUGCUCUUAACCAUCUUACAUAAAACCUUAUUUGUUCAUCAAAAAUUGUGAAUAACUCACCACAGGUUAAUAAGAAGGUUGUGCUUGAAAGGAUGCACAUGACUGCAAUGCUGGGUUGUAUUGGAGAGUCUGUCUUAAAUAAUUGUGCCUGAAUUUGGGUUUCAUGCUAGUGAGGGCCGAGAAUCCACUCUCACAUAGGUACGUGGUUGCAAAGGGCAGUGUCUUAACAACGCGAUUUGCCAAGGCAAGAAACUGAGAGCAGCCCUAUCCAGAGAUCUGGCAGUGGCUUCUGAUUAAAUUGAAUUUUCACAGAACCGCUUGUUGCAAUUACGAUGAGGCUCUCUUGUUCAGAUAUCGAUCGGUAAGUGGACUGGAGGCAGGCCAUGAAAGGGAUAACGAAUCCAGUUGUUUGUGUCGUCCGUUUCGGGAAAGUAUCUGCGUAACUGUGCACCCAACUCACUCAGGUGCUUCGCUAUAUCACAUUUGACAUUUGUCCGUAAGAUUGAGUUAAUUUGCACACAAAAAAUUAUACAAUGAUGGAAAGACCUGUGUGUUGUCCAUGUUAAUGCAGAAAGAAAAGAGCUCUAACUUCUUAAUCAUAGCCUCAAUUUUGUCCUGCACAUUGAAUAUAGUUGCGGAGAGUCCCUGUAAUCCUAGAUUCAGAUCAUUCAGACGAGAAAAAACAUCACCCAGAUAGGCCAGUCGUGUGAGAAACUCAUCAUCAUGCAAGUGGUCAGACAAGGGAAAAUGAUGGUCAGUAAAGAAAACUUUAAGCUCGUCUCUCUAUUACAAAAAUAUUUGUCAAUACUUUGCCCCUUGAUAACCAGCGCACCUCUGUAUGUCGUAAAAGCCUUACAUGGUCGCUGCCCAUAUCAUUGCAUAAUGCAGAAAAUACACGAGAGUUCAGGAACCUUGCUUUAACAAAGUUAACCAUUUUCACUGUAGUGUCCAAAACGUCUUUCAAGCUGUCAGGCUUGAAAGGCCCUGGCAGCAAGAGCCUCUCGGUGGAUGCUGCAGUGUACCCAAGUGGCGUCGGGAGCAACUGCUUACACGCGCGAUACCACUCCACCAUGUCAACCUCAAAUCAAAUCAAAGUUUAUUUGUCAAGUGCGCCGAAUACAACAGGUUUAGACCUUACAGUGAAAUGCGUACGUACAAGCCCUAACCAACAGCUCAAUUCUUAAGUAAAAAACAGGUAUUAGGUAAACAAUAGAGAAGUAAAUUUAAAAAAAAAUUAAACAGUAAAAUGACAGUGAAAAUAACAGUUGGAGGCUAUAUUCAGGUGGCACCGGUACAGAGUCAAUGUGCGGCGGCACCGGUUAGUCGGGCUGAUUGAGGUAAUAUGUACAUGAAUGUAUAGUUAAAGUGACUAUGCAUAGAUGAAAGAGGGGUCGGGGGGGGUGUAGAGGUCCUGGAUGGCACCCUCUGUAGUGCCUUGCGGUCGGAAGCCGAGCAGUUGCCAUACCAGGCAGUGAUGCAACCAGUCAAGAUGCUCUCGAUGUUGCAGCUUGUCCCUGUCAUGGCUUUUUCGCCAUUAGUACAGAUACAACACAUCUUGACCACCAAAGUCCAUUUGGUGUCACAAAGCUGUCCAGUACUUUAAAAAUAUCCUCUCAUGUUGUCCUGGUUUCCAGAAGAGGAUGUCUUCCUUAAUUGACCCCCCAUAAACGUAACGGGCAUAUACCAGGAGCUGUGUCAGGCCCGUCUGUUGACUCAUCCAGCUGUAACGCAUAGAAUUCACUGGCUUGUAUGCGAAGAAGUAAUUGUUUCAAAACAUCUCCUGCCAUGUCACUGAUGCUUCGGGAAACAGGGUAGUUUGAUUUAAGUCAUUGUCUGUAUAGUUUUUUUGGGCCUUUUCACCCAGCAUUGUCCCAGCCAGAUCUGCGGCAGCAGGAAGAAUUAAGUCCUCCGCAAUAGUAUGGGGCUUGCCUGUCCUAACCACUCGGUAGCUCACCAUAUAAGACGCGUCUAGCCGCUUCUUAUUAAUGGUAUCUGUUGCUUUUAUACAUGUCCUACUACUCGAAAGUCUUAAUUCUCACUCAAAAAUCUCACGUGGUUUAUUUCUCUAAUUGUCAUGUUUCGUUCUUAGGGACCAUCAAUGCUGCAGACAUUUUUUUGGUACCAAUCUACAGAUCUGUGCCUUGACACAAUCCUGUCUCGGAGCUCUACGGACAAUUCCUUCGACCUCAUGGCUUGGCUUUUGCUCUGACAUGCACUGUCAACUGUGGGACCUUAUAUAGGUGUGUGCCUUUCCAAAUCAUGUCAUAUCAAUUGAUUUUACCACAGGUGGACUCCAAUCAAGUUGUAGAAACAUCUCAAGAAUGAACAAUGGAAACAGGAUUAACCUGAGAUAAAUUUCUUAUCUUAUAGCAAAGGGUCUGAAUACUUACGUAAAUAAGGUAUUUCAGAUUUGUUUUGUUUUUAUACAUUUGCUAAACUUUCUAAGAAACUUUUCGCUUUGUCAUUAUGGGGUAUUGUGUGUAGAUUGAUGAGAAAAAAAAUCUAAUUUCAGCUAUUUUAAAAUAAGGCUGUAAUGUAACUACAUUUGGAAAAAGAGAAGGGGUCUGAAUACUUUCCCAAUACUCUGUAUGUAAUUGCAUGUUACCAGGUGUUACAUUGGGGGUAUAGAGUUGAGACCCAUGGGAUGCUAUCAUACCAGUGGAAUUCAAUAGAUCUCUCUUGAAAAAGGUCACAGAAAAAUGUCAAAUUCUGAGGAAUGUAAUUUCACAAAUGUACCCCAGCAUAUAACUAAAUUACUGCAAUUGUGACGAUUCCAGGUUUGCAGACUCGUGCAACAUUGUCUCUCAGUGCGACGAUGGCCUGAAAAACACCACCGUACAGGAAUGAGUGUGACAGAAUGACACUUGUGUAUUCAGGCAUUUCAGUCUAUUUCCUAGUCUACUCACCCAACCAGCAACCAAGGAAAAAGUGUAAAAAGAUGUCAAAGUGCCAAAUUCUCAAACAACAUAAUAAAGCAGAUGGCAAGUGAAGCCUAAAGAGAGAAAUAAAUAACAUUUGAGCAAAUCAAAAUACAUUGAUCCAUCAUCAAACCAUAAUUUAUGAAAAAUGUUCAUGUUGGAACUAUACUAUGAUAAUUUCACAACAACAGCAGAUACUAGUAUGUUUCUUAAUCCUGUGACAAGUCUGUCUAAAUAUCAAUUCAGUAGUAAUACCAGGUGCACAACAAGUAGUGACGUCAUCUUGGCAGUGGAGAAAGCCCAUCAAAUAACAGGCAAACAGACAUGCAACCUGA